rnacentral:rRNA from 1 species
UUCCGACUACCCUCCCGACUGCCUAUGAUGUUUAUCCUUUGGAUGGUCGCCAUGAUGGUGGUUAUUAUACCGUCAAGGACUGUGUGACUAUUGACGUCCUUCCCCGUACGCCGGGCAAUAAUGUUUAUGUUGGUUUCAUGGUUUGGUCUAACUUUACCGCUACUAAAUGCCGCGGAUUGGUUUCGCUGAAUCAGGUUAUUAAAGAGAUUAUUUGUCUCCAGCCACUUAAGUGAGGUGAUUUAUGUUUGGUGCUAUUGCUGGCGGUAUUGCUUCUGCUCUUGCUGGUGGCGCCAUGUCUAAAUUGUUUGGAGGCGGUCAAAAAGCCGCCUCCGGUGGCAUUCAAGGUGAUGUGCUUGCUACCGAUAACAAUACUGUAGGCAUGGGUG